UUAGUGGCGGACGGGUGAGUAACGCGUGGAUAACCUGCCGUAUACCGGGGGAUAACACUUAGAAAUAGGUGCUAAUACCGCAUAAGCGCACGGCUCCGCAUGGGGCAGUGUGAAAACUCCGGUGGUAUACGAUGGAUCCGCGUCUGAUUAGCUAGUUGGCGGGGUAACGGCCCACCAAGGCAGCGAUCAGUAGCCGGCCUGAGAGGGUGGACGGCCACAUUGGGACUGAGACACGGCCCAAACUCCUACGGGAGGCAGCAG
rnacentral:rRNA from 1 species